rnacentral:piRNA from 2 species
AUGUGUCAGCAGGCAAAGGC